UGAGGAAUAUUGGUCAAUGGACGAGGGUCUGAACCAGCCAAGUAGCGUGAAGGAUGAAGGUCCUACGGAUUGUAAACUUCUUUUAUAAGGGAAUAAACCCUCCCACGUGUGGGAGCUUGUAUGUACCUUAUGAAUAAGCAUCGGCUAACUCCGUGCCAGCAGCCGCGGUAAUACGGAGGAUGCGAGCGUUAUCCGGAUUUAUUGGGUUUAAAGGGAGCGCAGACGGGUCGUUAAGUCAGCUGUGAAAGUUUGGGGCUCAACCUUAAAAUUGCAGUUGAUACUGGCGUCCUUGAGUGCGGUUGAGGUGUGCGGAAUUCGUGGUGUAGCGGUGAAAUGCUUAGAUAUCACGAAGAACUCCGAUUGCGAAGGCAGCACACUAAUCCGUAACUGACGUUCAUGCUCGAAAGUGUGGGUAUCAAACAGGAUUAGAUACCCUGGUAGUCCACACGGUAAACGAUGGAUACUCGCUGUUGGCGAUAUACUGUCAGCGGCUUAGCGAAAGCGUUAAGUAUCCCACCUGGGGAGUACGCCGGCAACGGUGAAACUCAAAGGAAUUGACGGGGGCCCGCACAAGCGGAGGAACAUGUGGUUUAAUUCGAUGAUACGCGAGGAACCUUACCCGGGCUUAAAUUGCAAAGGAAUAAUCUGGAAACAGGUUAGUCUUCGGACCUUUGUGAAGGUGCUGCAUGGUUGUCGUCAGCUCGUGCCGUGAGGUGUCGGCUUAAGUGCCAUAACGAGCGCAACCCUCGCCGCCAGUUACUAACAGUUAAAGCUGAGGACUCUGGCGGGACUGCCAUCGUAAGAUGUGAGGAAGGUGGGGAUGACGUCAAAUCAGCACGGCCCUUACGUCCGGGGCUACACACGUGUUACAAUGGGCGGUACAGAAGGCAGCUACCUGGCGACAGGAUGCCAAUCCCUAAAGCCGCUCUCAGUUCGGACUGGAGUCUGCAACCCGACUCCACGAAGCUGGAUUCGCUAGUAAUCGCGCAUCAGCCACGGCGCGGUGAAUACGUUCCC
rnacentral:rRNA from 1 species